rnacentral:rRNA from 1 species
UACGGAGGAUGCAAGCGUUAUCCGGAAUGAUUGGGCGUAAAGCGUCUGUAGGUGGCACAUCAAGUCUGUCGUUAAAGAGCGUGGCUUAACUGCGUCAUAGCGAUGGAAACUGAGAAGCUAGAGUAUGGUAGGGGCAGAGGGAAUUCCCGGUGUAGCGGUGAAAUGCGUAGAGAUCGGGAAGAACACCGGUGGCGAAAGCGCUCUGCUGGGCCAAAACUGACACUGAGGGACGAAAGCUAGGGGAGCGAAAGG